GAUGAACGCUGGCGGCGUGCCUAAUACAUGCAAGUCGAGCGAACGGACGAGAAGCUUGCUUCUCUGAUGUUAGCGGCGGACGGGUGAGUAACACGUGGAUAACCUACCUAUAAGACUGGGAUAACUUCGGGAAACCGGAGCUAAUACCGGAUAAUAUUUUGAACCGCAUGGUUCAAAGGUGAAAGACGGUUUUGCUGUCACUUAUAGAUGGAUCCGCGCUGCAUUAGCUAGUUGGUAAGGUAACGGCUUACCAAGGCAACGAUGCAUAGCCGACCUGAGAGGGUGAUCGGCCACACUGGAACUGAGACACGGUCCAGACUCCUACGGGAGGCAGCAGUAGGGAAUCUUCCGCAAUGGGCGAAAGCCUGACGGAGCAACGCCGCGUGAGUGAUGAAGGUCUUCGGAUCGUAAAACUCUGUUAUUAGGGAAGAACAUAUGUGUAAGUAACUGUGCACAUCUUGACGGUACCUAAUCAGAAAGCCACGGCUAACUACGUG
rnacentral:rRNA from 1 species